rnacentral:rRNA from 1 species
UGAAAUGCGUAGAUAUCAGAAAGAACACCAGUGGCGAAGGCGGCUUCCUGGACUAAUACUGACACUGAGGUGCGAAAGCGUGGGGAACAAACAGGAUUAGAUACCCUGGUAGUCCACGCCGUCAACGAUGAGAACUAGCUGUUGGGGUGCUUGUCACCUUAGUAGCGAAGCUAACGCGUUAAGUUCUCCGCCUGGGGAGUACGGCCGCAAGGUUAAAACUCAAAGAAAUUGACGGGGGCCCGCACAAGCGGUGGAGCAUGUGGUUUAAUUCGAUGCAACGCGAAGAACCUUACCUACUCUUGACAUCCUCGGAAUUCUCUAGAGAUAGAGAAGUGCCUUCGGGAACCGAGUGACAGGUGCUGCAUGGCUGUCGUCAGCUCGUGUCGUGAGAUGUUGGGUUAAGUCCCGUAACGAGCGCAACCCUCGUCCUUAGUUGCCAGCACGUAAUGGUGGGAACUCUAAGGAGACCGCCGGUGAUAAACCGGAGGAAGGUGGGGAUGAUGUCAAGUCAUCAUGGCCCUUACGAGUAGGGCUACACACGUGCUACAAUGGGCAGUACAAAGGGUUGCCAAGCCGCAAGGUGGAGCUAAUCCCAAAAAACUGUUCUCAGUCCGGAUCGGAGUCUGCAACUCGACUCCGUGAAGUUGGAAUCGCUAGUAAUCGCGAAUCAGAAUGUCGCGGU